CCUACGGGAGGCUGCAGUGGGGAAUAUUGGGCAAUGGGCGCAAGCCUGACCCAGCAACGCCGCGUGAAGGAAGAAGGCUUUCGGGUUGUAAACUUCUUUUAUCAGGGGCGAAGCAAGUGACGGUACCUGCUGAAUAAGCCACGGCUAACUACGUGCCAGCAGCCGCGGUAAUACGUAGGUGGCAAGCGUUAUCCGGAUUUACUGGGUGUAAGGGGCGUGUAGGCGGGAGCGCAAGCCAGAUGUGAAAACUAUGGGCUCAACCCAUAGACUGCAGUUGAAACUGGACUUCUUGAGUGCUGGGGAGGCAAUCGGAAUUCGGGGUGUAGCGGUGAAAUGCGUAGAUAUACGGAGGAACACCAGUGGCGAAGGCGGAUUGCUGGACAGUAACUGACGCUGAGGCGCGAAAGCGUGGGGAGCAAACAGGAUUAGAUACCCGAGUAGUC
rnacentral:rRNA from 1 species